AGUCUAGUAGUAUCGAGUCGAUCGGUCUUGAUUAGGCCAGACAUUGAGAGUUGUAAAAAACGUCUCAAAAAUAAAUAUAAAUGACGGCAAAGUGAAAUCAAAUUAUAUGUGAUCUGAAGUCUAUAAAAAUGGCUUACAGCGCAACAUAUGCCCAUUCGUAUGGUUAUACGCGCAAGUGUUAACCGGGUGGAGCAAAGAGAUACUUGACUGGUCCCCGAAAGAUGGUGAACUAUUCCUGGCCAGAUUGAAGCCAGAGGAAACUCUGGUGGAGGAUUGUAGCGAUUCUGACGUGCAAAUCGAUCGUCAGAGCUGGGUAUAGGGGCGAAAGACUAAUCGAACCAUCUAGUAGCUGGGUUCCUUCCG
rnacentral:rRNA from 1 species